rnacentral:rRNA from 1 species
UACGAAGGGUGCAAGCGUUACUCGGAAUUACUGGGCGUAAAGCGUGCGUAGGUGGUGAGUUAAGUCUGUCGUGAAAGCCCCGGGCUCAACCUGGGAAUGGCGAUGGAUACUGGCUCGCUAGAGUGCGGUAGAGGAGAGUGGAAUUCCCGGGUGUAGCAGUGAAAUGCGUAGAGAUCGGGAGGAACAUCAGUUGCGAAGGCGGCUCUCUGGACCAGCACUGAC